rnacentral:rRNA from 1 species
GAUGAACGCUGGCGGCGUGCUUAACACAUGCAAGUCGAACGAAGCACUUUAACUUGAUUUCUUCGGAAUGAUUGUUCUUGUGACUGAGUGGCGGACGGGUGAGUAACGCGUGGGUAACCUGCCUCAUACAGGGGGAUAACAGUUAGAAAUGACUGCUAAUACCGCAUAAGCGCACAGUGCCGCAUGGUACAGUGUGAAAAACUCCGGUGGUAUGAGAGGGACCCGCGUCUGAUUAGCUAGUUGGGGAGGUAACGGCUAACCAAGGCGACGAUCAGUAGCCGACCUGAGAGGGUGACCGGCCACAUUGGGACUGAGACACGGCCCAAACUCCUACGGGAGGCAGCAGUGGGGAAUAUUGCACAAUGGGCGAAAGCCUGAUGCAGCGACGCCGCGUGAAUGAAGAAGUAUUUCGGUAUGUAAAGUUCUAUCAGCAGGGAAGAUAAUGACGGUACCUGACUAAGAAGCACCGGCUAAAUACGUGCCAGCCGCCGCCGUAAAAC